rnacentral:rRNA from 1 species
UACACUCCUGCGGGAGGCAGCAGUGAGGAAUAUUGGACAAUGGGUGGAAGCCUGAUCCAGCCAUCCCGCGUGCAGGAAGACGGCCCUAUGGGUUGUAAACUGCUUUUAUCUGGGGAUAAACCUACUUACGUGUAAGUAGCUGAAGGUACCAGAAGAAUAAGCACCGGCUAACUCCGUGCCAGCAGCCGCGGUAAUACGGAGGGUGCAAGCGUUAUCCGGAUUUAUUGGGUUUAAAGGGUCCGUAGGCGGACUGAUAAGUCAGUGGUGAAAUCCGACAGCUUAACUGUCGAACUGCCAUUGAUACUGUUAGUCUUGAGUAAGGUUGAAGUGGCUGGAAUAAGUAGUGUAGCGGUGAAAUGCAUAGAUAUUACUUAGAACACCAAUUGCGAAGGCAGGUCACUAAGUCUUAACUGACGCUGAUGGACGAAAGCGUGGGGAGCGAACAGGAUUAGAAACCCUGGUAGUCCCAUGA